CGCCUAACACAUGCAAGUCGAACGAAGUAGCAAUACUUAGUGGCAGACGGGUGAGUAACAUGUGGGUAUCUACCCUAUGGCCUGGAAUAACACGAGGAAACUUGUGCUAAUACUGGAUAAGUCUUUACGGAGAAAGCUUUAUGCACCAUUGGAUGAGCCCGCACUUGAUUAGUUUGUUGGUAGGGUAAUGGCCUACCAAGACUUUGAUCAAUAGCUGAUUUGAGAGGAUGAUCAGCCACAUUGGGACUGAGACACGGCCCAAACUCCUACGGGAGGCAGCAGUGGGGAAUCUUGCACAAUGGAGGAAACUCUGAUGCAGCGAUGCCGCGUGAGUGAAGAAGGCCUUUGGGUUGUAAAGCUCUUUCGUCGGGGAAGAAAAUGACUGUACCCGAAUAAGAAGGUCCGGCUAACUUCGUGCCAGCAGCCGCGGUAAUACGAAGGGACCUAGCGUAGUUCGGAAUUACUGGGCUUAAAGAGUUCGUAGGUGGUUGAAAAAGUUGGUGGUGAAAUCCCAGAGCUUAACUCUGGAACUGCCAUCAAAACUUUUCAGCUAGAGUUUGAUAGAGGAAAGCAGAAUUUCUAGUGUAGAGGUGAAAUUCGUAGAUAUUAGAAAGAAUACCAAUUGCGAAGGCAGCUUUCUGGAUCAUUACUGACACUGAGGAACGAAAGCAUGGGUAGCGAAGAGGAUUAGAUACCCUCGUAGUCCAUGCCGUAAACGAUGUGUGUUAGACGUUGGAAAUUUAUUUUCAGUGUCGCAGCGAAAGCGAUAAACACACCGCCUGGGGAGUACGACC
rnacentral:rRNA from 1 species